rnacentral:rRNA from 1 species
UGAGGAAUAUUGGUCAAUGGGCGAGAGCCUGAACCAGCCAAGUAGCGUGCAGGAUGACGGCCCUAUGGGUUGUAAACUGCUUUUAUGUGGGGAUAAAGUGCGUGACGUGUCAUGCAUUGCAGGUACCACAUGAAUAAGGACCGGCUAAUUCCGUGCCAGCAGCCGCGGUAAUACGUAGGGCGCGAGCGUUGUCCGGAAUUAUUGGGCGUAAAGCGCGCGCAGGUGGUUUAGAAAGUCUGAUGUGAAAGCCCACGGCUCAACCGUGGAGGGUCAUUGGAAACUAAUAAACUUGAGUGCAGGAGAGAAAAGUGGAAUUCCUAGUGUAGCGGUGAAAUGCGUAGAGAUUAGGAGGAACACCGGUGGCGAAAGCGGCUUUUUGGCCUGCAACUGACACUGAGGCGCGAAAGCGUGGGGAGCAAACAGG